AGGUAACAACAUCAAUCUCUCCCUCUUCCUCCAGAUAUCAUCUCGAUCUCAAUCUUCUCCCUUCUCUAGAUAACAACAUCGAUUUCUCACUGUUCCUCUGGAUAGAACUUUUCUCCAGAUAACAACACAUCGAUUUCUCCAUGUUCCUGUUAACACCUCUCUUCCUCCAUAUACGAACAUCGAAGAUCGACCUUUCUCUUCCUCCAGAUACGAACCAGAGAUCGAUCUCGAUCUCGAUCCGUGGCUGUGAAUCUCGACAGAGAUCGACCUUCCCUGUAUUUUGAGAUCUGCAGGGAUUUAGAGCAAUUGCAGAAGAUGAAUGCCAAUGAUGGUAUUUUUACCUCUAUUUGAUCGUAAAGAUUUACGAUCUCUUUUUUAUCUCAUCUUUUUGGUAUCAAAUACUGCUUGCGAAAUGAUUUAACGGUAAAGGAGAAAGUUGAAGUUAGUGGCAGCAAAAUGAAAUCAAGUGGUGUUGAUGAAGGUGAAAAGCUUAGUAUGCAACAAGAAUUGUGGGGUCUUAAUCAUGCGGAAUGUCUUAAAGAACAAGAAGAGAUGAUGAUUCGAUUCACGAACUUUGAUUCGUUAUAUAUGGAGAUGGAGAUGGAGAUGGAGAGGGACGAGGAGGAGAUGAAGAAGAUGGAGGAGGAGACAAGGGGACGUUUACCAAACACUUACCCGUUUACCAAACACUUACCCGGUCCAUCUCUGCAGAUAUUCUCCAAUUUUGUGUUUGAGUUCUACCUCCAAUAACCAGAGCGUCCCAUUUCUUGUUGUUUAAGGCGGCACUGCAUCUCUCUAUAUCCAUCGGUCAGGAGGCUCCAAGUUCGUCUGAUACAAGGGAGUUCAUGUCUAGAACUUCAUCUCUUCUUAUUUUAGUUGAGUUCUUUAUGAUUUGGGUUUCUAUGUUUAAAUCGUGAAAUCACAAAAAAGACAGUAGAAACAUUGCACAUUUUUAUGGGUAUAUCUUAAUAGAAUCAGAACUUGAGUAUCUCCAAUCGGGUUGAAAAACAGGAUUUUAUAAGCGGUUAAAAUCCAUUCAGAAAUGCAAUGGAUGCCAAUAUUGUUUAACUCUUUGCGUGUUUAGGUUUUCAUGUUAAUAUUUUCUUGUUUGCACCUGCGAGUGAGGUUUUCAUAUUUUGCAGAUGCGGCUGUUGCUUUGAU